rnacentral:rRNA from 1 species
AUGAACGCUAGCGGCAGGCCUAAUACAUGCAAGUCGGACGGGAUUCAGGAGCUUGCUUCUGAUGAGAGUGGCGCACGGGUGCGUAACACGUAUGUAACCUACCUUUAUCAGGGGGAUAGCCUCCCGAAAGAGAGAUUAAGCCCGCAUAAAAUCACAGCACAGCAUUGUGUAAUGAUCAAAUAUUUAUAGGAUAAAGAUGGGCAUGCGGAACAUUAGCUAGAUGGCGGGGUAACGGCCCACCAUGGCGACGAUGUUUAGGGGAUCUGAGAGGAUGGCCCCCCACACUGGUACUGAGACACGGACCAGACUCCUACGGGAGGCAGCAGUAAGGAAUAUUGGUCAAUGGGCGGAAGCCUGAACCAGCCAUGCCGCGUGCAGGAAGACGGCCCUACGGGUUGUAAACUGCUUUUAUACGGGAAUAAACCCAGAUACGUGUAUCUGGCUGAAUGUACUGUAAGAAUAAGGAUCGGCUAACUCCGUG